GAAAGGCUUCGGCCGAACAGGGAUGGUCAUGCGGCGCAUUAGGCAGUAGGCGGGGUAACGGCCCACCUAACCGACGAUGCGUAGGGGUUCUGAGAGGAAGGUCCCCCACACUGGUACUGAGACACGGACCAGACUCCUACGGGAGGCAGCAGUGAGGAAUAUUGGUCAAUGGUCGGGAGACUGAACCAGCCAAGCCGCGUGAGGGAUGAAGGUACAGAGUAUCGUAAACCUCUUUUGUCAGGGAACAAAGGCGGGGACGUGUCCCCGGAUGAGUGUACCUGAAGAAAAAGCAUCGGCUAACUCCGUGCCAGCAGCCGCGGUAAUACGGAGGAUGCGAGCGUUAUCCGGAUUUAUUGGGUUUAAAGGGUGCGCAGGCGGUCUGUUAAGUCAGCGGUCAAAGCCCGGGGCUCAACCCCGGCCCGCCGUUGAAACUGGCAGUCUCGAGUUGGAGAGAAGUAUGCGGAAUGCGCGGUGUAGCGGUGAAAUGCAUAGAUAUCGCGCAGAACUCCGAUUGCGAAGGCAGCAUGCCGGCUCCACACUGACGCUGAGGCACGAAAGCGUGGGUAUCGAACAGGAUUAGAUACCCUGGUAGUCCACGCAGUAAACGAUGAAUGCUGGCUGUCCGGG
rnacentral:rRNA from 1 species